rnacentral:rRNA from 1 species
CUUACGGGAUGGAGCUUAAGGGAAACCGAGCGUGAAUAGCGCGAUUGUAGGAUAUAUACGACCCGAAGCCAGAUGAGCUUGCCAUGAGCAGGGUGAAGUCUGUCGAAAGACAGAUGGAGGCCCGAACCCGUUGGUCGUACAACGCCUUGGGAUGACUUGUGGCAAGGAGUGAAAAGCUAAUCGAAUCUGGGAAUAGCUGGUUCUCUCCGAAACAGCUUUUGGGCUGGCGUCGCCAUAUACGCGCGCAUGGGGGUAGAGCACUGGAAGGGACCAACAGGGAGAAAUCUCGUGGCCCCUAUCAAACUCCGAAUACCAUGUGCUCGGGCAGCAGUUAGAAGGUGGGGGCGAAGCUCCAUCGAUCGAGAGGGGAAGAGCCCUGAUCGCCAAUUAAGGCCCCUAAAUCGACACUCAGUACUUUACAAGGAAGUGAGGACUCAUUGACAGUGAGGAUGUUGGCUUAGAAGCAGCCAUCAUUUAAAGAAAGCGUAACAGCUCACUCAUCGAGAGUCCUUGCGCCGAAGAUGAUCGGGGUUAAAUGUCGUGCCGAAAUUGCGGGUUCCGGAACAAUACUUUGGAUUUAAAAGUCUGACUUUUUUGAAUGCUUAAAGUCAGACUUUAGAAUUCAAAUCCAAAGUAUUGUUCCGGAGCGGUAGGAGAGUGUUCUGUUCGCGCUGAAGCUUAAGGGGUAACCCAAGGUGGAGCGUACAGAAGUAAGAAUGCCGGUACAAGUAACCACAAUGCGGGUGAGAACCCCGCACGUCGAAAGAUCAAGGUUUCCUCAGCUAUGGUGAUCAACUGAGGGUUAGUCGGGCCUAAGGGGAUGGCGAGAGCCGCACCCGAUGGACACAGGGUUAAUAUUCCCUGACCGUUUCUGGAGGCAAUGGAGUGACGGACUGCUGUAUGUGCUGCCCAUUAUUGGAUUUGGGUCGGCAACACGAGGGCGCGUACUAGGGAAAUCCGGUACGCAUUACCCCGAGUGUUGACGCAAUUUCUUCCUUCGGGGGGAGAGAGAGUGCAAAGCGCGGUUUCAAGAAAAUCUUCUACGCAUCAACUUCAGAGACGACCGUACCGUAAACCGACACAGGUGAUCAGGUCGAGAAGACCAAGACGAACGAGUAAGAUGUCCUCAAGGAACUCGGCAAAAAAGCGGCCGUAAGUUAGCGAUAAGGCCUGCC